GUAACUUACAGGACCCCCAUCAACGUUAUGCCUCUGUUCUUCAGGUGGAAGAAGGUGGUAAGUAUUAUACAAAUCUACUCCCUAACAUUGUGUGAAAUUCGGGGGGGGGGGGGGAGACCUCAGUGUACUAUUACCAGACUUAUGGGCAUGCAUAUACAUACACAUGACAGUUUAACUGUCAAGCCCUCUUCCUGGGAAUUGUGGAUCUGUGAGGGGAAGGAAGUAGCAUCCUUGCCAAACUACAGAUCCCAGGAUUCUUUGGAGGGAUCCACAGAUGUUUAAAGUGGUAUAAUACUGCUUUAAAUAUAUAGUGGCAUAUGCAGCCACAGUCUUUCAGAAAAGUUUAAAACCAAACCAAACCCUUCCUGCUGUUUUAUUCCUACCAACAGCUUAAAGCCAUUGACAAGUUCCGGUUUGGACCCUGUUCUUCAGUCGACUGUCAAAAUCCUGGACGUCCCUUUUGGACUUAAAUUAUUGUGUUAUCAGGGGAAUUAAUUCACUUGGCUAGAUUUUUAUGGCCAUCUUAGAUAAACAGCAUGUAGUCAUUUUGUUUUAUUAGCAUUGUGAUCCAUUUUUAUAGCCCUGUGCUAGAUAAUGAUGAUAGGAAAUGAGGGCACCUGAAUAAAUUUUUUAAGGGUUGCAGUCUCUCAGAGAACUUGCCCUUUUGCGAAUGGCUUUAUAACUAGUUUGUCACGGCUUGAUAGCUUUGCACAUGCAUUUCCAUGGCUCAGAGACUGGAG